UGUGGUGACGAUGGCGAGAAGGAUACACCUGUUCCCAUGUCGAACACAGAAGUUAAGCUUCUUAGCGCCGAGAGUAGUUGGGGGAU
rnacentral:rRNA from 3 species